CAGUAAGGAAUAUUGGGUCAAUGGAGGCAACUCUGAACCAGCCAUGCCGCGUGCAGGAAGACAGCCCUCUGGGUCGUAAACUGCUUUUAUUCGGGAAUAAACCUAUUUACGUGUAAAUAGCUGAAUGUACCGAAGGAAUAAGGAUCGGCUAACUCCGUGCCAGCAGCCGCGGUAAUACGGAGGAUCCAAGCGUUAUCCGGAUUUAUUGGGUUUAAAGGGUGCGUAGGCGGCUUUUUAAGUCAGGGGUGAAAGACGGUGGCUCAACCAUCGCAGUGCCCUUGAUACUGAAGAGCUUGAAUGAAUUAGAGGUAGGCGGAAUGUGACAAGUAGCGGUGAAAUGCAUAGAUAUGUCACAGAACACCGAUUGCGAAGGCAGCUUACUAUGAUUUUAUUGACGCUGAGGCACGAAAGCGUGGGGAUCAAACAGGAUUAGAUACCCUGGUAGUCCACGCCCUAAACGAUGAAUACUCGCUGUUAGCGAUACACAGUUAGCGGCUAAGCGAAAGCGUUAAGUAUUCCACCUGGGGAG
rnacentral:rRNA from 1 species